CGCGUAGGUGGUAGUGUAAGUCUGGGUGGAAUGCCGGGGCUUAACCCUGGAAUUGCCUUGGAAACUGCAUUACUUGAGUCAGUGAGGGGAGGGUAGAAUUCCUGGUGUAGCGGUGAAAUGCGUAGAUAUCAGGAGGAAGGCCUGUGGCGAAGGCGGCCCUCUGGUGCUGGACUGACACUGAGGCGCGAAAGCGUGGGGAGCAAACAGGAUUAGAUACCCUGGUAGUCCACGCCCUAAACGGUGGGCACUAGGUGUAGGGCUCGUAAGGGUUCUGUGCCGAAGGGAAACCAUUAAGUGCCCCGCCUGGGGAGUACGGCCGCAAGGUUGAA
rnacentral:rRNA from 1 species